rnacentral:rRNA from 1 species
CCUACGGGCGGCAGCAGUGAGGAAUAUUGGUCAAUGGCCGGAAGGCUGAACCAGCCAAGCAGCGUGAAGGAUGACUGCCCUACGGGUUGUAAACUUCUUUUAUAAAGGAAUAAAGUGAGGCACGUGUGCCUUUUUGUAUGUACUUUAUGAAUAAGGAUCGGCUAACUCCGUGCCAGCAGCCGCGGUAAUACGGAGGAUGCGAGCGUUAUCCGGAUUUAUUGGGUUUAAAGGGUGCGUAGGUUGUUUUUUAAGUCAGCGGUGAAAGUUUGUGGCUCAACCAUAAAAUUGCCGUUGAAACUGGAAGACUUGAGUGUGUUUGAGGUAGGCGGAAUGCGUGGUGUAGCGGUGAAAUGCAUAGAUAUCACGCAGAACUCCGAUUGCGAAGGCAGCUUACUAAGCCAUAACUGACACUGAAGCACGAAAGCGUGGGGAUCAAACAGGAUUAGAUACCCUAGUAGUC